rnacentral:rRNA from 1 species
CAAUUUAACAACGAAGAGUUUGAUCCUGGCUCAGGAUGAACGCUAGCGACAGGCUUAACACAUGCAAGUCGAGGGGCAGCACGAGGUAGCAAUACUUUGGUGGCGACCGGCGCACGGGUGAGUAACGCGUAUGCAACCUACCUAUCAGAGGAGG